AGCGAUGAUAUACAGAGCUGUAUCGGAACGCAGUGCUGUAUUGAGCUUCCUGGAGGGGUUGUGCAACGGUACCUCAAACCGAUGUAGGCUUUUGCCGAAAGAAAAUGCUC
rnacentral:sRNA from 1 species